CGAUGAGUAGGGCGGGACACGUGACAUCCUGUCUGAAUAUGGGGGGACCAUCCUCCAAGGCUAAAUACUCCUGACUGACCGAUAGUGAACCAGUACCGUGAGGGAAAGGCGAAAAGAACCCCGGCGAGGGGAGUGAAAUAGAACCUGAAACCGUGUACGUACAAGCAGUGGGAGCACCUUCGUGGUGUGACUGCGUACCUUUUGUAUAAUGGGUCAGCGACUUAUAUUUUGUAGCAAGGUUAACCGUAUAGGGGAGCCGUAGGGAAACCGAGUCUUAACUGGGCGAAUAGUUGCAAGGUAUAGACCCGAAACCCGGUGAUCUAGCCAUGGGCAGGUUGAAGGUUGGGUAACACUAACUGGAGGACCGAACCGACUAAUGUUGAAAAAUUAGCGGAUGACUUGUGGCUGGGGGUGAAAGGCCAAUCAAACCGGGAGAUAGCUGGUUCUCCCCGAAAGCUAUUUAGGUAGCGCCUCGUGAACUCAUCUUCGGGGGUAGAGCACUGUUUCGGCUAGGGGGCCAUCCCGGCUUACCAAACCGAUGCAAACUCCGAAUACCGAAGAAUGUUAUCACGGGAGACACACGGCGGGUGCUAACGUCCGUCGUGAAGAGGGAAACAACCCAGACCGCCAGCUAAGGUCCCAAAGUCAUGGUUAAGUGGGAAACGAUGUGGGAAGGCAUAGACAGCCAGGAUGUUGGCUUAGAAGCAGCCAUCAUUUAAAGAAAGCGUAAUAGCUCACUGGUCGAGUCGGCCUGCGCGGAAGAUGUAACGGGGCUAAACCAUGCACCGA
rnacentral:rRNA from 1 species